rnacentral:rRNA from 1 species
CGUAGGUGGCAAGCGUUGUCCGGAUUUAUUGGGUUUAAAGGGUGCGUAGGCGGUCUUGUAAGUCAGUGGUGAAAUACGGCAGCUUAACUGUCGAGGUGCCAUUGAUACUGCAGGACUUGAGUACAGACGAGGUAGGCGGAAUUGACGGUGUAGCGGUGAAAUGCUUAGAUAUCGUCAAGAACACCGAUAGCGAAGGCAGCUUACUAGACUGUAACUGAUGCUGAUGCACGAAAGUGUGGGGAUCAAACAGGAUUAGAUACCCUGGUAGUCCACACUGUAAACGAUGAUUACUCGAUGUUGGCGAUACACAGCCAGCGUCUUAGCGAAAGCGAUAAGUAAUCCACCUGGGGAGUACGCCGGCAACGGUG